rnacentral:rRNA from 1 species
CCUAGGGGAGGCAGCAGUGAGGAAUAUUGGUCAAUGGGCGCGAGCCUGAACCAGCCAAGUAGCGUGAAGGAUGACUGCCCUACGGGUUGUAAACUUCUUUUAUAAAGGAAUAAAGUGAGGCACGGGUGCCUGUUUGUAUGUACUUUAUCAAUAAGGAUCGGCUAACUCCGUUCCAGCAGCCGCGGUAAUUCGGAGGAUCCGAUCGUUAUCCGGAUUUAUUGGGUUUAAAGGGAGGUUAUAUGGGUUGUUAAGUCAGUUGUGAAAGUUUGCGGCUCAACCGUAAAAUUGCAAUUGAUACUGGCAGUCUUGAGUACAGGUGAGGUAGGCGGAAUUCGGGGUGUAGCGGUGAAAUGCUUAGAUAUCACGAAGAACUCCGAUUGCGAAGGCAGCUUACUAAACUGCCACUGACAUUGAUGCGCGAAAGUGUGGGUAUCAAACAGGAUUAGAUACCCUAGUAGUC